rnacentral:rRNA from 1 species
UACAGAGGUCUCAAGCGUUGUUCGGAUUCGUUGGGCGUAAAGGGUGCGUAGGCGGCGCGGUAAGUCGGGUGUGAAAUCUCGGAGCUUAACUCCGAAACUGCAUUCGAUACUGCCGUGCUUGAGGACUGGAGAGGAGACUGGAAUUUACGGUGUAGCGGUGAAAUGCGUAGAUAUCGUAAGGAAGACCAGUGGCGAAGGCGGGUCUCUGGACAGUUCCUGACGCUGAGGCACGAAGGUCAGGGGAGCAAACGGG